UGUUGUUUACUUCAGGGCUAGUUGGGGUAAUAGGACUUAGGCUUUCCAAAAACUAUACUGUAAAUUUUUUUUACAUGUAAAAUUUGUCCUAUAGAGGGGACUUUGAGAGAAUAAUCAUACUGUAAAUUUUUUUUACAUGUAAAAAUUGUCCUAUAAAGGGGACUUAUAGGUGGAAUCAUUAUACUGUGGCUUACUUCAGGGCUAGUUGAUAGAGAUGUUGCAGCCAAGGACCAUAUUUUUGUGUUACACUUUCAGCUUCCCAGCUAUUAUAUCAUCUUCAACACAAGGAGAAAGUCCCCG
rnacentral:misc_RNA from 1 species